AUUGAACGCUGGCGGAAUGCUUUACACAUGCAAGUCGAACGGCAGCACGGACUUCGGUCUGGUGGCGAGUGGCGAACGGGUGAGUAAUGUAUCGGAACGUGCCCAGUCGUGGGGGAUAACGUAGUGAAAAUUACGCUAAUACCGCAUACGAUCUAUGGAUGAAAGCGGGGGAUCGCAAGACCUCGCGCGAUUGGAGCGGCCGAUAUCAGAUUAGGUAGUUGGUGGGGUAAAGGCCCACCAAGCCCACGAUCUGUAGCUGGUCUGAGAGGACGACCAGCCACACUGGAACUGAGACACAGUCCAGACUCCUACGGGAGGCAGCAGUGGGGAAUUUUGGACAAUGGGCGAAAGCCUGAUCCAGCCAUUCCGCGUGCAGGAUGAGGGCCCUCGGGUUGUAAACUGCUUUUGUACAGAACGAAAAGGUUUCUACUAAUACUAGGAGCUCAUGACGGUACUGUAAGAAUAAGCACCGGCUAACUACGUGCCAGCCGCCGCGGUAA
rnacentral:rRNA from 1 species